rnacentral:rRNA from 1 species
AUUGAACGCUGGCGGCAUGCCUAACACAUGCAAGUCGAACGGUAACGCAGAGAGCUUGCUCUCUGGCGACGAGUGGCGGACGGGUGAGUAAUACUUAGGAAUCUGCCCAGUAGUGGGGGACAACUCGGGGAAACUCGAGCUAAUACCGCAUACGCCCUACGGGGGAAAGCGGGGGAUCUUCGGACCUCGCGCUAUUGGAUGAGCCUAAGUCGGAUUAGCUAGUUGGUGGGGUAAAGGCCUACCAAGGCGACGAUCCGUAGCUGGUCUGAGAGGACGAUCAGCCACACUGGGACUGAGACACGGCCCAGACUCCUACGGGAGGCAGCAGUGGGGAAUAUUGGACAAUGGGGGCAACCCUGAUCCAGCAAUGCCGCGUGUGUGAAGAAGGCCUGCGGGUUGUAAAGCACUUUCAGUUAGAGAAGAAAAGCUUACGGUUAAUACCCGUGAGUCUUGACGUAACCUACAGAAGAAGCUCCGGCUAACUCCGU